AUGAAGUGGGCUUUCAAGGUGAGUUUAAGUCGUAAACCAACAAAACAGCUGCAGACAACACUCAGUAGUAGUUUUUUCUUAGCUGAAUUCCAUCUUGCAUGGAUAAAGAACAAAUCUGUUUCUGUUCUGUCUUUAGCUCUGCACCACAGAGAGUACAUCAGCUUGGCUCAAUCCCUGUUGCUUGGUCGAGCCAGGAAAGCAAAAAUACAACUUUACCCAGCAUCAGCAGACCUAGUGGUCAACUUACCCAAUAACACCAAGUUCUUCAAGGACAACUUUCAGAUCCGCAGAAGGGCGGUGGAUUAUGGAGUACCACUUACACAAACUUCCAGGUAG
rnacentral:lncRNA from 1 species